rnacentral:rRNA from 1 species
GGACUACAAGGGUUUCUAAUCCUGUUUGCUACCCACGCUUUCGUGUUUCAGCGUCAGUUACGGUCCAGAAAGCCGUCUACACCACCGGUGUUCCUCCUGAUAUCUACGCAUUUCACCGCUACACCAGGAAUUCCACUUUCCUCUCCCGCACUCCAAGUCUCUCAGUAUUCGGCGCACCCUCCCGGUUGAGCCGGGAGAUUUCACACCAAACUUAAAAGACCGCCUACACACCCUUUACGCCCAGUAACUCCGAACAACGCUUGCUGCCUACGUAUUACCGCGGCGGCUGGCAC